rnacentral:rRNA from 1 species
GACGAACCGUGCGAACGUUGUUCGGAAUCACUGGGCUUAAAGGGCGCGUAGGCGGCCCGCCGCGUCCGGGGUGAAAUCCUCCCGCUCAACGGGAGAACGGCCUCGGAUACGGGCGGGCUGGAGGCGGGUAGGGGCACGCGGAACUGUGGGUGGAGCGGUGAAAUGCGUUGAGAUCCACAGGAACUCCGGUGGCGAAGGCGGCGUGCUGGACCCGUCCUGACGCUGAGGCGCGAAAGCCAGGGGAGCAAACGGG